UUAAUAGAUUCGUCGCUGCUCGGACGUCACUGGAUCGACGGGGUUGGAGGGGGUCUCCGGCGGGCACGCGUCCGCGGGGGACGGGGGGCGCGAGGGCCCCGCGGCCCGCCAAAGCAACGGAGGCAGGUAGACACGGGAUGGAGCCUCGGGCGCGUUACGCGACCCGCGCUCGUACGCUAAUGAUCCUUCCGCAGGUUCACCUACGGAAA
rnacentral:misc_RNA from 1 species